ensembl:misc_RNA Metazoa_SRP Metazoan signal recognition particle RNA
GCUGGGCAUGGUGACUCAUGCCUGUAAUCCCAGCAUUUUGGGAAGCCGAGGCAGGAGGAUUGCUUGGGCUCAGGAGUUCAAGAUGAGCCUGGGCAACACAGCAAGACCCUGUCUCAU